rnacentral:rRNA from 2 species
UACGUAGGGGGCAAGCGUUGUCCGGAUUUAUUGGGCGUAAAGAGCGUGUAGGCGGCCUGGAAGGUCCGUUGUGAAAACUCGAGGCUCAACCUCGAGACGUCGAUGGAAACCCUCAGGCUAGAGUCCGGAAGAGGAGAGUGGAAUUCCUGGUGUAGCGGUGAAAUGCGCAGAUAUCAGGAAGAACACCUAUGGCGAAGGCAGCUCUCUGGGACGGUACUGACGCUGAGACGCGAAAGCGUGGGGAGCGAACAGG